AAGUACGCUAAAAUAUGACGUCACGCAACACUUUCAUUAAUGACGACGAUACGCACACACGUAAUUCUUUGUCUAGUCCAUUACGGGACGGAGAGAUGCAACGUGGAUGUUUGUAGAUCGUCACCAUUAUGAGCUCGAUAUUUGUUUAACAACACCUCUUCUUUUUUGAGGGGGAACAAGUGAACCUGGUGGAAGCCUUUUGUUCGCGCACAACCCGCGCGGAAGAACAAGAGAAGAGAAGCGAAGCACUUCGAUCGGUGAAGGAGAGACUCGAGAGGCUGAUCCAACAUGGGGCCGCUGUUGUGCUUUCCUCGUUUCUGAUUGGACGAUGAGAGGAAGACUACUUCCUGACACCGCCUCCUUCCCACAGAUAUGAAAAGGGGGGACAUGACUGCAGUGACGUGGAAGAACGUGAACCAGGGAGCAUUGAAGACUGGCAAGAUAGUCACAUUCCAUGGCCUUAUUUUAGAAGAGUGUUUGAUGUUUUAAACACCUAGAAUUAUUUGUGGUGAAUGCUUUGUCUCCUGCCAGCCUACCACCAGCUUCUACCGUUAAAAUAAUAUCGCACUAAUCUGAAGAAAAAAAAACACAGGUAAGGUGUAUUUUGACAGAAAAACAAACAAAACACUUGAAACAGUGUUAAAUUUACAAUAAUUUCGAAAAUGCAAACUUAAACUACAAAUGUUACAAGAAUCAUAUUUUCCCAUAGAAUUUAAAGAUAACUAGUAUA